rnacentral:misc_RNA from 1 species
GCAAACUUGGUCAUUUAGAGGAAGUAAAAGUCGUAACAAGGUUUCCGUAGGUGAACCUGCGGAAGGAUCAUUAGAGAAUCAUUGACACGGGGUGAAAACCCCCUGUCAACCCACUCUAUUUCACCCCUUUGUGAACUGUUGAUCGGUCGAGAAUGGUUGCAUUCUUGGUCGAGGGUGUUGUAAUGCGUUUGCGUUGCCACCCGAAUCACCCUUUUGAAAAACCAAUAGUGUGUUGAAUGGCACGCCACAUGGCGAAUCUUUGAAACACAAUACAACUUUCAGCAACGGAUCUCUAGGCUCUCGCAUCGAUGAAGAACGCAGC